UACAGAGGUCUCAAGCGUUGUUCGGAUUCAUUGGGCGUGAAAGGGUGCGUAGGCGGCGCGGGUAAGUCGGGUGGUGAAAUCUCGGAGCUUAACUCCGAAACUGCAUUCGAUACUGCCGUGCUUGAGGACUGGAGAGGAGACUGGAAUUUACGGUGUAGCGGUGAAAUGCGUAGAUAUGUGGAGGAACACCGAUGGCGAAGGCAGCCCCCCUGGGUCAAGACUGACGCUCAUGCACGAAAGCGCGGGGAGCGAACGGG
rnacentral:rRNA from 1 species